GAAAGUCCAUAUGAGCAUUUCUGUUGGAAAAGCGCGCCUGCGCACACAUUGACCAGAGGACAGCAAGACCGCGCACAUCAACCUACUUCAAAAUCGUCGGCAGCGCUGCAUAGGAUCCAAAUAAGUGCAAUUUUGGAUGUGAGGGAAAGUUUACCGUGUUCAGCUUCGCCAAGAACCCAGCAUUACACGAACAGUGGAUACAGUUUGUUUUUCCGUGGCAGCAACAGAGUGUAUCAAGUGCGUUUGUGUGUUCUGAGUGACGAAUGUUUUAUAAACAAGGCCCAAGUCGACGCUGGAUUUGCACAUCCUUUGCUAUUAAAACAUGGAGUGCUCCCUGUGAUAAAAGACCCCAUUCAUGAUAAUGGCAGAUUCCAGUGGUCCACAGAAAAACAGGUACUCAAUACUGGGUGCCUGUCCAACAGAUGGCAUACAAGAACUGAAACAAAAGUAUCAGAAGCUCAUCCUCAUGUUUCACCUGGACAAGCAGAGGCCAGACAUAUCAGAAGGUGAAGCUGAGCAGCACAUUCAGCGAUUCAUUGAUGUGGACCAGGCUUGGAAGAUCUUGAGUAAUGAGGAGAGCCAGAUGGAGUACAACCUCUAGCUACAGGAAAAUUUGAUACCCCCCAUCCCAUUCUGGAUGAAAAGGGUCCUGUGUGAGGGGGAGUACAGCCAACCACAUGGCAGGGCAGGCGCGGUGUCCUGGGCGGGGGCCGUAUGGAAGGAUUUUAGGGAGAGGGGGUGGAGAAGAAGGUGAGGCGUAAGGAGAGUGAUCCCCCAGCCGCGCUCCACACCCACCUGCAGGGUGACAGUCCUCUCUCCUGCCCUGAACCCCAUCUGGAGUGGGAUGGCUGGGAUUAGACCAGGCCUGACGAGAGGGCAAGAAUAACUAUGGAAAAAGUUCAACACAAACUGCAUCUAUUCUAGCUUUUUCCAAUUGUGGGCUUUUUUAUUUUUCUUAAUUUUUUUUUGUAUUACAGGCUUUUUUUUAUUUCACAUUAUGCAAUGUUUUUGACCAUUUUAAUCAUAUAUGAGUAUUUUAUAUUUAAGUUUUAAAGUUCCCAUGAUCCUGUGAAUAUUUAAGACAAUCACAUGUAUGAGACAUAAAUACUGUACAUGCAAUUGUUAUUUGCAUUACUGCAGAGUACAUCUAUGGACCAGCUAUUGAUUUUCUUCCCUUUACAAAUCAGCCCUCUCGUAAACCCUGAUGAAUUCUGCCACAUACAUUCAAUCGCACACACACCACGUCAUCCUCUCUGAAUGGAACGGAGGGGUGGAUGGGCUUCUCUCGUUCUCUCACACACAAAAAAGUGCAUUAGGGGCUGGGAGGGGUGCAUGGCAACUGCUCGCGUGUUGUCAAGAUAGAUUAGUGUGAUACGACUCAAUCAGACGUACAGCUCGGCAGACAGGCUCGGGGGAAUUUUGCGGAAUGGCGUACGAGAUCCCCAUUGCUCUUGGAUACACACACGCACACACACUCCCAUUGGCCAUUUUCACUCCUAGUUUUUAGA